rnacentral:rRNA from 1 species
AUUGAACGCUGGCGGCAUGCCUUACACAUGCAAGUCGAACGGCAGCACGGGUGCUUGCACCUGGUGGCGAGUGGCGAACGGGUGAGUAAUACAUCGGAACGUACCUUAUCGUGGGGGAUAACGCAGCGAAAGCUGUGCUAAUACCGCAUACGCCCUGAGGGGGAAAGCGGGGGAUCGAAAGACCUCGCGCGAUUAGAGCGGCCGAUGCCUGAUUAGCUUGUUGGUGGAGUAAAAGCCCACCAAGGCGACGAUCAGUAGCUGGUCUGAGAGGACGAUAAGCCACACUGGGACUGAGACACGGCCCAGACUCCUACGGGAGGCAGCAGUGGGGAAUUUUGGACAAUGGGGGCAACCCUGAUCCAGCAAUGCCGCGUGAGUGAAGAAGGCCUUCGGGUUGUAAAGCUCUUUUGUCAGGGAAGAAACACCGGCUCUAACACAGUCCGGGAAUGACGGUACCUGAAGAAUAAGCACCGGCUAACUACGUGCCAGCAGCCGCCGUAA